UUGAAACUGUUGGAUUAUUGGGCGAACCCGAAUGCACGCACGAGGACAAGUUCUGAAUCUCAGUUCUGGUUUUGAAGCCGUUAUUCGACAAAUUAUUCCCGGCAAAAAUACGAAGCCCUAGUCUGUUUCCCUCCUCCCUCCCUUACACUCCAACCUGCCCGGCAUGUCUACACUCGAAAUCGAAGCUAGAGAUGUCAUCAAGAUCGUGCUCCAGUUUUGUAAAGAAAAUUCACUGCACCAAACAUUCCAGACGUUACAGAAUGAGUGCCAGGUUUCUUUGAAUACCGUAGACAGCAUUGAAACUUUUGUUGCUGAUAUCAACUCUGGACGGUGGGAUGCCAUACUGCCUCAAGUGUCUCAACUUAAGCUUCCGAGAAAUAAGCUGGAGGACUUAUAUGAACAGAUUGUAUUAGAGAUGAUUGAGCUUCGUGAGUUGGAUACUGCUCGUGCUAUUCUUAGGCAGACACAAGUGAUGGGUGUAAUGAAGCAGGAGCAACCUGAAAGAUACUUGCGACUUGAGCAUCUCUUAGUCCGAACAUACUUUGACCCGAACGAGGCUUAUCAAGAUUCAACAAAAGAGAAACGCCGAGCGCAAAUUGCCCAAGCCCUCGCAGCUGAAGUGACUGUGGUUGCACCUUCUCGAUUGAUGGCUCUAAUUGGCCAGGCUCUAAAAUGGCAACAGCAUCAAGGUUUACUUCCUCCAGGAACACAGUUUGACUUAUUUCGUGGAACUGCUGCUAUGAAACAAGAUGUGGAGGAUGUUUAUCCAACUACUCUUUCUCACACAAUAAAGUUCGGUUCAAAAAGUCAUGCAGAAUGUGCUCGGUUCUCACCAGAUGGGCAGUUUCUUGUUUCUUGCUCUGUAGAUGGAUUUAUCGAGGUCUGGGAUUAUAUAAGUGGGAAACUCAAGAAGGAUCUUCAGUACCAGGCUGAUGAAACUUUUAUGAUGCAUGAUGAUCCGGUCCUUUGUGUUGAUUUUAGCAGAGACUCAGAGAUGAUCGCUUCUGGUUCACAAGAUGGGAAAAUCAAAGUAUGGCGUAUAAGGACUGGUCAGUGCUUGAGGCGUCUUGAACGUGCUCAUUCUCAGGGAGUUACGAGUGUUGUUUUCUCUCGUGAUGGAACCCAGUUAUUGAGUACAUCUUUUGACACCACAGCAAGAAUCCAUGGCCUAAAGUCUGGGAAGCUAUUGAAGGAAUUCCGUGGUCAUUCAUCAUAUGUGAAUGAUGCAGUCUUUACUAAUGAUGUAGCACGUGUCAUUACAUCAUCUAGUGAUUGCACGGUCAAGGUAUGGGAUGUGAAGACAACCGAUUGUCUGCAUACAUUCAAACCCCCGCCUCCAUUAAGGGGAGGAGAUGCCUCGGUGAACUCAGUUCAUUUGUUCCCCAAAAAUGCAGAUCAUAUUGUUGUUUGUAACAAGACAUCAUCAAUAUACAUUAUGACAUUGCAAGGGCAGGUUGUUAAGAGCUUCUCAUCUGGUAAAAGAGAAGGGGGAGAUUUUGUUGCAGCUUGCGUAUCACCAAAAGGUGAAUGGAUAUACUGCAUUGGUGAAGACAGGAACAUGUAUUGCUUCAGCCACCAAUCCGGUAAACUGGAGCAUCUCAUGAAGGUUCAUGAGAAGGACGUGAUAGUAUUUUGAAAUGAUGGUAAUCCAUGUAUGAAAUCUUCUGAUGGUUUUGCCUGAGCAUGCCCGUCUGUUGCAGAGUAUCAAGAUAAAAUGCUAAUCACUAGGUGGCGUCUCUAUUUAAAGCUGGGAUUUGAAUGAGGAACAAAUAUUGUCAGAAGUGGACAAUUGUUACUUGAGUCAAUAGUGGGGCAAUAUUUACAGAGUUCUCGUCUAAAUCACAAGUGCAGUCUUCUCCUCGCGUUGCCCACUACCUGACUUCUAAAUUGCUGGCUAGCAAGCCGUAAUUGGUCUUCCUGCUUGGUCACUGCCUCUAUAUCACUGAAUAUGGUAAUUAACAUGUUGCUCCUACACCAAUCCUACUUUAUUUUUUCCCCUCAAAGUGGAUUCGUUGAACAGCAUUUGAUCGGCAGGUUGAAUUGUUUUAUUUUCUUCCCUUCAGUCUGACGGAGUUUUGUAGUUCGAUGUCCCGGUACUUAAUGUUCUAUGUGCUUUUUUAUUUUUAAUAGAAUUCCAGAAAGAAAGUACCGAAAACUGCGUGGGCCUGAUUCUUGAAAAUUAAUUGGGAGUUGGAUGAACCAACAGCCUGGAGGAUGAAUGGACAGCCCGAGAACAAUUUAGUAUGAGUUGAAGUAAAAAUAGUUUUUGUUUGUGGUA